CGACAGAGUUGCCACUUGAAAAUGAAAUUGGAAUUGGAAGCUGGGGUAUAUGAAUGUCUUCGUAAAUUUUAAUCUGGGACCAUAUGUUUUAAAAUUU